GCGGCCAAAGGUUUUAUUGUAGCCAAGGAAAUUAUUAAUUAGCUCAUCCAGAUAAUAGUUAAUAGUAAUAAUAAUAAGUAGAUUUGGGUGAGAUCAUGAUUCUUCGAAUUCCAUGGGUGAAAUGAAGGUUCAUAAUGGCUGGAACAGCAUCAUUUAGUACUUAUUAUUUGCCCAACUGAAAAGUGGAGAUAAUGAAAAGAGUUUGAACUCUGCAUUAAUACCCAAUUAAUUUGGUCAUUCGGAUUAAUAAUUUAAUGGUCAUUAGUCAUUACACAUUUGAAUGGAUCUUUUCCUACGAAAAAAAGCCUCUUACUUGAUAAUCAGUGAUCUCAUCUCUUUAGAGGAUAAUCGUAUGCCUCAUUCGUUGGGUUUAAUCUCUUUUAAUGGAAGGAACGUUCGUUAUGAAGAUAGACUUAAACAUCAAGGUAUGAUGGUAGUGACUUCUAAACUCGUGGGUCAUCGUCCAUCGGCUAAUUUUUUUAAAUAUAUAUGAGUUCUGCUAUCUGCUAGCUUCAGUCUAUCCAGAUCUUUUAUAAAAUAAUCGUAAUUAAUACUUCUUUUAUUAAUUAAGUAUUAUAAAAACUGGAAAAAAUAAUAUAUAGAUAUAACAACUGAAUAAAAAAGGAACAGAAAGAAUUAUCAUCCUUAA
rnacentral:lncRNA from 1 species